CCUGUCCAGGGGAAGUAGGAAGGGUGGCAGGGUAGAAAGGGAUGGGGAGAAUGGAGGAGGUAGAAUUGGACAAGAGGAAAGCAUGUGAGCCUUUCAAAAGACUCUCCUUGACAACCCAGAAGCAUCCAGAAAAGCCUGAGGACUGGCCCCAGAGGCUGAGCACUUGGCAGGCAGAUCUUGGUAGCUGAGCAUGAAGACACAGAGCACCAGUGGAGACCAUGAGCCUCCCCCUUCUUCUUGGCUGUAGCCGCCGUUCCCUCCGGCACCCUACCCCAGAAUUUGUGGAGAAUUGUGGACCAGAUCAGCCUCGCUCUUAAGAAAGAAAGAGACACAGGUACAAAGGCAGGUGGUGCAUGCCAUGCUUGGGCCAGGCAGGGUCCAGGCCUCACCUUGACCUCCUCCUCCAGCUGCCUCUUGAGGUCCUCCAGCUGCUGGGUGUAGGUGAGCUUGCCUCGGGUCAGCUGGGAAAUCAGCGCCUCCUUCUCAUCCAGCUGCCGGGACAGCUCCCCUGGGGAGGCACCAAGCUUGGCCCGCUGGCUGGUGAGGUCAUUGACGGAACGCUGAGUCUCCUCGGCCUUGCUCCGAUGCUCAUUCAUCUGGUCUUCCAAGGUCCGGC